AGUGAACGCUGGCGGUAUGCCUAACACAUGCAAGUCGAACGGCAGCACAGUAAGAGCUUGCUCUUACGGGUGGCGAGUGGCGGACGGGUGAGGAAUACAUCGGAAUCUACUUUUUCGUGGGGGAUAACGUAGGGAAACUUACGCUAAUACCGCAUACUACCUACGGGUGAAAGCAGGGGAUCUUCGGACCUUGCGCGAUUGAAUGAGCCGAUGUCGGAUUAGCUAGUUGGCGGGGUAAAGGCCCACCAAGGCGACGAUCCGUAGCUGGUCUGAGAGGAUGAUCAGCCACACUGGAACUGAGACACGGUCCAGACUCCUACGGGAGGCAGCAGUGGGGAAUAUUGGACAAUGGGCGCAAGCCUGAUCCAGCCAUACCGCGUGGGUGAAGAAGGCCUUCGGGUUGUAAAGCCCUUUUGUUGGGAAAGAAAAGCAGCAGGUUAAUACCCCGCUGUUCUGACGGUACCCAAAGAAUAAGCACCGGCUAACUUCGUG
rnacentral:rRNA from 1 species